CUGAUUGGACGAGCGCAGGGGCGGGCACGUGAAGGGCGGGGAGAGAGGCGGGACCGAGGCAACACCAGCAAUACUGCAAGGCCUUUUUGUACUCUCCUUUUGCACUCAGAAUACUCUCAGUAGCUGGGAACUACAGAAUUGGUCUUGAAAACGAGGAGCUGGUAUCAACCCACCUACAGAAUACACGGUUCUUGCACGAAUGUUCUGGCCAGCAUAAACUCUCUGAAUUCCUGCUCCUCUCGGCACAGCCAAACACCACAACUCCAUCAUCCCAAAGGAACUUCGGCGUUUGCCUCUUUACCCCCUCCCUUUUCCAGCGGACGCGAGUAGGACCGGGCUGACAGAAAUGUCAUUCUCUAGGCAGUUUGUCCCAGCAGAUGUGAAAAGAGUUCCCGGGAACAUGAACACAGCCUCUACCUCCCACCUGGCUGAGCUCGGAGUCCAUGCAGCACCCACCGAGAGCUGCGGGGAGCUGAAAUUCUCCCUGGGAAGAAUUCUGCCCUGCCCGGCAGCCCGUGCUCUCAGCCCCGGCCCCCGCGCCUCUCACCUCCCGGCAAAGAGCGGCUGCCUCCUCCUGCUGGCUGCUCCGGCUGCGGGCACCUCCGCCGACUAUGCCAAGGGCAGGUGACAAUGCCAGUGGGUCACGCCAACGCCGAGGAACCUCAGGCUGUUUGCAGGGAACAACCAGCCAAGCAGGGAUGCUUUUCCGCUGAAAGGGGACAACCAGGGACAAGAACUAAAGAAGCUGGGGCAGCACAGCCACCAAAACUGCCCAGUCUCCAGCUGCCACACGCUUCCGUGGCCAGACAGGACCCAAAUCCACACCCAAAACAGCCUGGAGGGAGGUCCAGCUGCUCAUCUCCAGCCAUGCCCAAGCAUCCAGUUCCAGUGUCUGUCAGCCCCGUCUCCUCUCUGUCCUGAACUACCGGCGUCUGAGCCACAUUGGCACCGCUGCAUUGAUUAAAUACCCAUUAACACAUA